UUCUGGGUAGAUUGAAGCCACCUCCUCAUUAAAGAUUCAGAUUGGACGAACCAAUGUCCUAUUAGGUUCUUCAUGCGGGAAGGAAAAGUCAACACGGGAACUAAUUUCAAGGAUUGGAGUCAGGCUGAGGUCACCAUAUGGAGUUAUGUACUGCGGAUU